rnacentral:rRNA from 1 species
UACGUAGGUGGCGAACGUUAUCCGGAAUUAUUGGGCGUAAAGGAUGCGUAGAUGGUGUAGUAAGUUAUCGGUGGUAAAUCGAGGCUCAACCUCGUGGAAGUCGGUAAUACUGCUAUGCUAGAGGAUAGGAGAGGUUAACGGAACUCCCUGUGGAGCGGUGAAAUGCGUAGAUAUAGGGAAGAACACCAAUCAGGCGAAGGCAGUUAACUAUUCUAUUCCUGACAUUGAGGCAUGAAAGCGUGGGGAGCAAACCGG